CUGGGUUCGAGUCCCUCAGAACAGAGCAACAGGAGUCUGUCGCUGGAAAGGGCAAGAGAUGGGUUAGCAAGGGGACAAGGGGACAGGAAACCAGAGCCAAGCUUCUCGCCUCAGGCCUGAACUUCCUGAGGUGGCUUUAUUUGCAUGAUGCCCAGGCAGAUGGGCCACUGGUCACCUGCAUUCCAGAAUAUGCAAAACGCCAACAGUCACUAAGGCCAGUCAGGGGCCGUCCUCACAGUUGUUCCACCCUAAGCUCACCCCUAGGCUUGAUCUGUGACAUGCUACAUCUGUGCCUCUAUACUACAGACCAGGAGUCUAGGGGUCAGACGAGAAACUUCUCCCUGGGUUCAAACGAGGUCCCUCGAGGGCUUUGGGUAAAUCGGCUUCUCUGCCUAGCAAUGCCAUCUCUGUUUAUGACCUCAUGGCUGGUGGGGAGACGGGGCACAGACCCCAAAGAGGUGCCACCGUCACGUGGGCCCAGCUAGAGAGUAGCACACAGCACUACUGCUCGGACGCCAUGUUCUACGUCAAAGGACCUUCUGUAAGGGAAAAGUAGGCUCGGCCCCGACUAUGUCUAGCAGCCUCUCGUGGCAGUGCACGCCCUAAGCUUAAAGCAACUGCCUCUCCUUAACGCUGUCUCUACCCAGAAUAAAUAAGUCUUAUUGCUAA
rnacentral:lncRNA from 1 species